rnacentral:rRNA from 1 species
GGGAUUGCCCUAGUAACGGCGAGUGAAGCGGCAACAGCCCAGAUUUGAAAUCUGGCCCUUUCGGGCCCGAGUUGUAGUCUGCAGAUGGAUCUUCAUGGCGAGGCGCCGCCCAAGUUCCCUGGAACGGGACGCCGGAGAGGGUGAGAGCCCCGUACUGGCGCGCGCCGAGCCUCUGCGAAGCCCAUUCGAAGAGUCGAGUAGUUUGGAAAUGCUGCUCUAAUUGUGGGGUAAAUCUCCCAUAAGGCUAAAUACCGGCCAGAGACCGAUAGCGCACAAGUAGCGUGAGCGAAAGAUGAAAAGAGCCUUGAACAAGGGCGUCAAAAAGCAUGUGAAAUUGUUGUGGGGGAAGCGCCUAGUGACAGACGUGGCGGCGGUUGGUUACCCGGCGUUCACGCGCCGGCGCACUCGGCCGCCGCCAGGCCAGCAUCGGUUCGGACUUGGGGCCCACUGCCGCGGGGGACGUGGCUCCUCCGGGAGCGUUAUAACCCCGUGGUGACGCCCUGAACCGGACCGAGGAACGCGCAUCUGCCCGGAUGCUGGCGUAAUGGCACUCGGCGACCCGUCUUGAAACACGGACCAAGGAGUUGACCUGGCGUGCGAGUGUUUGGGUGCAAAGCCCUCACGCGCAGUGAAAGCGAACGCUGGUGGGAGCCCUCGGGCGCACCAUCGACCGAUCCUGAAGCUUGCGGAUGGAUUUGAGUAGGAGCACGCCGGGUCUGACCCGAAAGAAGGUGAACUAUGCAUGAAUAGGGUGAAGCCAGAGGAAACUCUGGUGGAGGCUCGCAGCGGUUCUGACGUGCAAAUCGAUCGUCAAAUUUGUGCAUGGGGGCGAAAGACCAAUCGA